ACUGAAUUGGCCACAGAAGCUGGGCCAGGAGCAGAAGGGACUUCCUUCCCAUUAGAAGAGUUCAGUUUCCCAUUGAAAACCAUGAGCACUGCCACAGAAAAGGACUAAGCGCUGACUUCUCAAGAAAUCAGCCUUUCAGGGCACCUACCUGAGGGGGUGAUGAGGAAUUCAAAGGGUCUUUUGGUGGUGGACUUGAGGAAGGUGUGUCUCCAGGAACAUUACCUACAUUCUGUGUCUGACAGAGUUUCCUGAAAAGCAAAAUUAUACAUGAUUUAAAGAAAGCAUUCUUCAUCAGAAGUUUAGAUCUCUGGGCUUUUUCCGAAAGGAUCAUGGAGGGACCUCAAAAGAAGAUCCAAUAAGAGGGAGACAGGUAAGAGAAACCUCUGUUCCCAUCCAUGGCAGCCUGGUGCCCAUGAGGAAGAAAGGACAGAAGGAGGAGAACUGCUAAGUGAUCUCUGUGACAUUUUCACACAACUGGCAGAUUCUGUAAGAAUACAAAGAGCAGCACUGGGGCAUCCUGCUAUCAAGAUUCUUUGUCACAAGGGAUAUUUUUGAAUAGGAGAUAUCUAGUGAGGAGAGAUACAACUGGAAAUGAAGAAAUCUACUGACCAGCUAUCCCAGGUUGGAAGGAGCUGCCAUAACUUGUGCUUGCUGACAUAAUCUUUCAGAAUCAGGGUCAUCUACCAAUCAAAGACUUGAGUCAAGGCAUUUAAUAUCUGAUGAAUCAACAUGUAGCCCUCAGAUGACCAUGUUCCUAUGCACCUUACCCACAUAACGAGCUCCCGGUUUAAUG